rnacentral:rRNA from 1 species
AACGAACGCUGGCGGCAUGCCUAACACAUGCAAGUCGAACGAGACCUUCGGGUCUAGUGGCGCACGGGUGCGUAACGCGUGGGAACCUGCCCUUAGGUUCGGAAUAACUCCCCGAAAGGGGUGCUAAUACCGGAUAAUGUCUUCGGACCAAAGAUUUAUCGACUUUGGAUGGGCCCGCGUUGGAUUAGCUUGUUGGUAGUGUAAAAGCCUACCAAGGCGACGAUCCAUAGCUGGGCUGAGAGGAUGAUCAGCCACACUGGGACUGAGACACGGCCCAGACUCCUACGGGAGGCAGCAGUGGGGAAUAUUGGACAAUGGGCGAAAGCCUGAUCCAGCAAUGCCGCGUGAGUGAUGAAGGCCUUAGGGUUGUAAAGCUCUUUUACCCGGGAUGAUAAUGACAGUACCGGGAGAAUAAGCUCCGGCUAACUUCGUG